rnacentral:rRNA from 1 species
GACGAACGCUGGCGGCGUGCUUAACACAUGCAAGUCGAACGGAAAGGCCCCUUUGGGGGUCCUCGAGUGGCGAACGGGUGCGUAACACGUAAGUAACCUUCCCUUGACUUCGGGAUAACUUCAGGUAACUGGGGCUAAUACCGGAUAGGAAUCCUUGCUGCAUGGUGGGGGUUGGAAAGCUUCGGCGGUUUUGGAUGGACUCGCGGCUUAUCAGCUUGUUGGUGGGGUAGUGGCUUACCAAGGCUUUGACGGGUAGCCGGCCUGAGAGGGCGACCGGCCACAUUGGGACUGAGAUACGGCCCAGACUCCUACGGGAGGCAGCAGUGGGGAAUAUUGCACAAUGGGCGGAAGCCUGAUGCAGCACGGCCGCGUGCGGGAUGACGGCCUUCGGGUUGGAAACCGAUUUCAGCAGGGGCGAAGCUUGUGGUGACGGUACCUGCAGAAGAAGCACCGGCUAACUACGUG